GGGGGCGAUAUGGCUUCGACGGGGUUAGUUGAGACCAAGGUUGCAGGUCGAGCGACCCAGUGACUCGUUAAUCCAAGGGAAUAAACUAAAAGCAGACUCUCACGAGUACGCUCUGG
rnacentral:tmRNA from 1 species